CUUUUCUUGUAUUUGAUAUGAAAUAUGACCUGCCCACUGAAGUUGAUUGAAGGGCCGCGGUAUUUUGACCGUGCAAAGGUAGCAUAAUCAUUAGUCUUUUAAUUGUGGACUGGAAUGAAUGGUUGGACGAGGAAUAGACUGUUUCUUAUUAUUUUUAUUGAAUUUAAUUUUUAAGUUAAAAAGCUUAAAUUUAUUUAUGGGACGAGAAGACCCUAUAGAGUUUAUAUAUAUUAUUUAUUUAUUUUGUUUGAUUUUUAUUUUUAAAUAUUUAAUAUAUUUUGUUGGGGUGAUGGGAAGAUUUAAUUAACUCUUCUUUUUUUAUAUACAUUUAUUUAUGAGUGGUUGAUCCAAUUUUGUUGAUUAUAAGAUUAAAUUACCUUAGGGAUAACAGCGUAAUCUUUUUUGAGAGUUCUUAUUGAUAAAUGGGUUUGCGACCUCGAUGUUGGAUUAAGAUUUAAUUGGGUGUAGAAUUUCAAUUUGUUUAGGUCUGUUCGACCUUUAAAAUCUUACA
rnacentral:rRNA from 1 species